rnacentral:ncRNA from 1 species
CACCACAUGGUGGAAAUUUUCGCAACAGGACGCAGCCUAGUAGACCUCUAUGGUUCGGACGGCAGCGAAGCGAAAAAGGAG